rnacentral:rRNA from 1 species
UACGUAGGUGGCGAGCGUUGUCCGGAUUUACUGGGCGUAAAGCGCUCGCAGGCUGACUGAUCAGUCUGGGGCGAAAUCUCACGGCUCAACUGUGAGCGGUCCCUGGAUACUGUCAGCCUUGAGAUGUCUAGAGGAGAGCGGAAUUCCCGGUGUAGAGGUGAAAUUCGUAGAUAUCGGGAGGAACACCGGUGGCGAAGGCGGCAUCCUGGACCAAUAUUGACGCUGAGGAGCGAAAGCCAGGGGAGCAAACGGG